ensembl:lncRNA
AUGCAUAAAUCAAUUAUUAGGAAAGAUGCUUACCUGAAGCGAACCUUAUUGUCGUCUGGGUUCGGGUGUCCUCUCUGCCCCAAUUUCAAGACAGAAAGUGAUGAAGUGAUCCAGAGGCACUUGAGCAACCACAGUGCAAAUGCUGUUAUUUUCCAGGACAAAUUCUGCAUCUGCAGGUGCAACUUAUCCUGCAGGGCUGGAGGCCACUUCCAUUGUCCUUUUUGUGACGGCACUAUUAUGCGUAAAGACGAUAUGGUGUCACAUCUGUAUGUGUGUCCAAAUGAAUGUAAAAUGAUUCAGCCUUCUCUGGUGGACUCUUGUAAGUCACCUUCACCAGAGACCUCGCCCCAUGAAGUGAACCAGAGGCAUUUGAGAAACCACAAUGCAAAUGAGGUUCUUUUCAAGGGUUUUUAUAUGUUGUUUGGAUCAAGUAAUGUGAUCCAACCCACACUGGAGAAAUGUUGUGAGCCAUCUUCAACAGAAACCCAGUCUUUAAAAGAGGAUCUAUCACCAGUGCAUAAAUCAAUUAUUAGGAAAGAUGCAUACCUGAAGCGAACCCUGUUAUCAUCUGGGUUUGGGUGUCCUCUCUGCCCCAAUUUCCAGACAGAAAGUGAUGAAGUGAUCCAGAGGCAUUUGAGGAACCACAAUACAAAUGCUAUUAUUUUCCAGGACAAAUUCUGCAUCUGCCGGUGCAAAUUGUUCUGUCAUUUUGAAGGCCACUUCCAUUGUCCUUUUUGUGGUGGGACAGUAACUAAAAAGAAAGAUAUGACAUUCCAUCUUACCACUUGUCCAAACAAAAGUAACGUGAUCCAACCCACACUGGAGAAUUCUUCUGCAGACCACUCCUACCGGCAAGCAGCAUCACCAAAGACCCUGACACCUGCCACGGAUUUUGAUCAGACAACUGCUACCACCUCAGAAAAACCCACAAUUCAAGAGAGAGAAGUAAUUCUGCCACUGACCAAGGCUGAAAGUGAUGAAGUGAUCCAGAAACUCUUGAGAAACCACAAUGCAAAUGCAGUUCAUUUCCAGGACUUGUCUAGUAGAGUUGGAGGCCACUUCCAUCCUUCUUUUUGUGACAGUACAAUAACUACCAAGGACUUGAUGUUCCAUCUUACCACGUGUCCAGAUAAAAGUAAUGUGAUCCAACCCACACUGGUGGAAUCUUCAGACCACUCUUAUGCAAAAGCAGCUUUACCCAAGACCCCCACACCUGUCACAGAUUUUGAUCAGACAACUCCUGCUACUACCUCAGACCAACUCAUGAUUCAGGAGGAGGAAGUGACUGUGCCACUGACCAACGUGCAUGAAUCAGUUAUUAGGAAUGAUACGGACCUGAAGCAAAGCCUGCUAACAUCUGGGUUUGAGUGUCCUCUCUGCCCCGAUUUCAAGACUCAAAGUGAUCGAGUGAUCCAGACGCAUUUGAGCAACCACAUUGCAAAUGGAGUGCAUUUCCAGGAAAACGUAGUCUGCAGGUGCAAUUUGCCUUGUAGAGCUGGAGGCCACUUUCAUUGUCUUUUUUGUGACAAGACACUAAUUAACAAGGACAGUAUGGCAUUACAUCUGAUCAGAUGUCAAAACAAAAGUACAGUGGUCCAAUUCCCACUGGUGGAAGCUUCACCAGAGCCUUUCACGCAGCCUUUAAUAGAUCCUCUGGAACCAUCAGGGAGUGAAGACCACUCGGUGUCCUCACAAACUGCAGAUCAUGCCUACACACAAACUCCCACACUCAUCACAGCUUUAAAUCAGACAACUCCUGCUACCACCUCAGACGCACUCAUGAUUCAAGAGGAGGAAAUAACUCUACCAUUGUCCAAGGCUGAAAGUGAUGAAGUGAUCCAGAAGGUCUUGAGAAACCACAAUGCAAAUGCAGUUCCAUUCCAGGACUUGUCUAGUAGAGUUGGAGGCCACUUCCAUCGUCCUUUUUGUGACAGUACAAUACCUACCAAGGACGUGAUGUUCCAUCUUACCACGUGUCCAGAUAAGAGUAAUGUGAUCCAACCCACACUGGUGGAAUCUUCUGGAGACCAUUCCUACACAAAAACAGCUUCAUGCAAGACCCCCACACCUGCCACAGAUUUUGAUCAGACAACUCCUGCUACUACCUCAGACCAACUCAUGAUUCAGGAGGAGGAAGUGACUGUGCCACUGACCAACGUAAAGUCACUUCCCCUUCAUUCUUUACAAGAGAAAGCAUGUCCAACUUCAAGACAUUACAGCAAUAUAGAGGAGGGAUUGAAUCGAGAUGUUUUAGCAUGUUUAAUGAAUAUCUGGACACAGGAUGAGCGCUGUAGUUCCUCCUACUAUAUUGGACCGUUAGGUAAAGGAUUGUCAGUUUUUAUUACAAACCCAUGUUCACCAAGUGAUCUGGUUUCUUCUGGUUCAGGUGCAUAA